rnacentral:rRNA from 1 species
UUCCAGCUCCAAUAGCGUAUAUUAAAGUUGUUGCAGUUAAAAAGCUCGUAGUUGAACUUCGGGACCUGUAGGUCGGUCGUGCCUCCGGUACGCACUAGCCUUACCGGUUCCUCCCUUCUGACGAACCAUGAUGCCAUUAAUUUGGUGUUGUGGGGAAUCAGGACUGUUACUUUGAAAAAAUUAGAGUGUUUAAGGCAGGCUCGCGCUUGAAUACAUUAGCAUGGAAUAAUGAAAUAGGACGUUUGAUUCUAUUUUGUUGGUUUCUAGGAUCGACGUAAUGAUUAAUAGGGAUAGUUGGGGGCAUUAGUAUUCAAUUGUCAGAGGUGAAAUUCUUGGAUUUAUUGAAGACUAACUACUGCGAAAGCAUUUGCCAAGGAUGUUUUCAUUAAUCAAGAACGAAAGUUAGGGGAUCGAAGACGAUCAGAUACCGUCGUAGUCUUAACCAUAAACUAUGCCGACUAGGGAUCGG